GGCGGAAUAGCAAAAUGGCUAUGCAGUGGAUUGCAAAUCCAUCUAUCUCGGUUCGACUCCGGGUUCCGCCUCCA
rnacentral:tRNA from 1 species